UCCUUGGUGGCUCAGAUGGUAAAGCGUCUGCCUGCAAUGCGGGAGACCCGGGUUUGAUCCCUGGGUUGGGAA
rfam:TPA: Bos taurus chromosome 11, whole genome shotgun sequence.